rnacentral:rRNA from 1 species
GACAGAGGGAAUCAGCAUAAUUUUUUGUGGUGCAUUUACUUGAUUGGUGCUUGGGGAUGUUUGAGGCAGAUUUGUUUCCGUCGUUUUGAGGCCAGCUUGCUGGUACCCAAACGGUGUUAGCAUUUUUUGUCUUGGGCAUUUGAGUAUGGCUCACGUGUAUUUAUUGGACAGAUCUGAGUGUAAGUUACGGUCGCAUGCGACACGUGCUUUUCAAUUAGUUCGGUCCAGUUAAUGCUCUCGUACUCGUUCCCCAUGUAAAAGCCGGUCAUCUAUCCGACCCGUCUUGAAACACGGACCAAGGAGUUUAUCGUGUGCGCAAGUUUUUGGGUGUUAAAAACUUAAAAGCGAAAUGAAAGUAAAUGACUCUUUAGAGUCUGAUGUGCGAUCUUGUAAAAAAGUGUAGCAUGGCCCCAUUCUAACUGUUUACAGUAGGGUGGCGGAAGAGCGUACGCGGUGAGACCCGAAAGAUGGUGAACUAUUCCUGAGCAGGACGAAGCCAGAGGAAACUCUGGUGGAAGUCCGAAGCGGUUCUGACGU